rnacentral:tmRNA from 1 species
GGGGGCGUAAUGGUUUCGACAAGAAUUUCAAUUAACGGGCAGCGAGUAGCGGUGCGGGACCGCUAUAAAAUCCGCAAACAAAAAAUAAACGCCAACAAUAAAGUUGCGCUUGCAGCCUAAUUAAGGCUGCCGUCCGAACCCGGAGUACCGCGGCCGGGUAAGGGCGUCAAUUAGCGGUGAACGUGAGCCGGGAACUUCUCCAUUUCCGGCCAUGAAGUAGGAGAUACCGAAACUGCAAGCCUGACGGCCGGCGUGCAGUUGAGGGAAUGUCAAUAGACCGUCUGCACUCGGAGAAACCCGUUAGGAGAGAUUUUUGGACAGGGGUUCGACUCCCCUCGCCUCCACCA